rnacentral:rRNA from 1 species
GUUUGAUCCUGGCUCAGGAUGAACGCUGACAGAAUGCUUAACACAUGCAAGUCGAUGGGGAAGCGGCGCUUGCGCCGUGGCAACCAUGGCGGACGGGUGAGUAACGCGUAAAGAACUUGCCGGAUGGACCGGGAUAACAGCUGGAAACGGCUGGCAAGACCGGAUACUGUGGGCUGGCCGCAUGGCUGGCCCAUGAAAAGGGAUGCCGUCCGAGAGCUUUGCGUCCUAUUAGCUGGUUGGUAAGGUGACGGCUUACCAAGGCGAUGAUAGGUAGCCGGCCUGAGAGGGUGGACGGCCACAAGGGGACUGAGAUACGGCCCUUACUCCUACGGGAGGCAGCAGUGGGGAAUAUUGGACAAUGGGGGCAACCCUGAUCCAGCAAUUCUGUGUGCACGAAGAAGGUUUUCGGAUCGUAAAGUGCUUUCAGCAGGGAGGAAGGAAGUGACUGUACCUGCAGAAGAAGCGACGGCUAAAUACGUGCCAGCAGCCGCGGUAAUACGUAUGUCGCGAGCGUUAUCCGGAAUUAUUGGGCAUAAAGGGCAUCUAGGCGGCCGGGUAAGUCCGGGGUGAAAACUGCUGGCUCAACCAGCAGCCUGCCUUGGAAACUACCCGGCUUGAGUGCUGGAGAGGUGGACGGAACUGCACGAGUAGAGGUGAAAUUCGUAGAUAUGUGCAGGAAUGCCGAUGAUGAAGAUAGUUCACUGGACGGCAACUGACGCUGAAGUGCGAAAGCUAGGGGAGCGAACAGGAUUAGAUACCCUGGUAGUCCUAGCUGUAAACGAUGAUUACUGGGUGUGGGCAUGAAGAGUGUCCGUGCCGAAGCUAAUGCGAUAAGUAAUCCGCCUGGGGAGUACGGCCGCAAGGCUGAAACUCAAAGGAAUUGACGGGGACCCGCACAAGCGGUGGAGUAUGUGGUUUAAUUCGAAGCAACGCGAAGAACCUUACCAGGCCUUGACAUUGACUGAAAGAGCUAGAGAUAGCUCCCUCUCUUCGGAGACAGGAAAACAGGUGGUGCAUGGCUGUCGUCAGCUCGUGUCGUGAGAUGUUGGGUUAA